AGCGCUAGGCUCAGUUUCCUGUAAUCUCUGUACAUAGCACCAAAGAACUGGUCUAGACAUGUUUACUUCAAAAGACAUCAUCAGAUCCAAGUGUGCUGAGGAAGGGCACUUUGUCUGGCUCAGGCCCAGUGAUUUGAUGCUGUGUCUAUUUGCAUUCAGGAUUUGAGCCGGAUCACAUCUGGAUGGCUUGAAAUUCAGUCGGAAUACCUUUGAAUAAAGAAAAUGGGAAUACAUACAUCCUGUACUGGAAAAAGAAUUUCUAUGUUGUUCAAUAUCAGCCAUGAGUAGGUGCCUGUCAGUGCAUGUGGGAGAGCACUUGGUUACAUCAGGAAUUCUUGCUUCAUGAGUGAGAGGAGUGAAGGAAAAACUCCCACCAACACAUAUUUUUUCAGCCUAUUUAAAUAGUCUUGGCAAUACCAAAGAGAAGAUAAUAAUCUGGACACCUACAGACCGAGGGCCUACUCGUGCCUUCCACAUCUACAUAGAGAAAGCAGGAGUCAUCCAUCUCUGCUGCUGCAACUUCACCAUUUCCUCAAAUUUAGAAAGUCCAUUUCUGUCUUCCAAGGACCACAUAACCUUCUACACAAAGGCCUCCACUAGGAGUGGUGCCAUUUGGGAUCAGCUAUGAUCACCCAUAACUAUCACAGCAAUUUGGUAGAAGCUGACACAUGCUCACUGAAGACCAUAUGAACAAGGACCACACUGACUGCCAAGCAACUUGAAAGUCAAGAACUCUGGCAAAGCUGAAAAUCUUCUGUGAACCUCUGUAAAUGGUUUGUUUGAGACUUGUGACCGGAAUACUUGUUCAGUUUUAGAAGAGAAGAACAAACUGUACCUUUCAGGAAAACAAGAGGAAAUUGAAUACGGGAAAAGCCCAUUCCUUAUCCCCAUGAAAUUUUCCUUAAAAAGAAAUACAUGGAAUCUUGAAGACGAUUUGACUAUGAAAUGCUGGCAUCAUGUUCAGUGGCUAGUUACACAUUUUUGUGGAUUUUCUGUGACAUUUCUGUGUCCAAAUCUGUUGUGUUUUGUGAUGCCAAAACAGCCAGAAGAGAGUAAACAUUUUACUAUUGUUUUUAUGAUGUCAUUAUGAUAUGAAAGAAUGAUGGAAAAAUUUCAGUGAAAGUCCAUAGAGAUUGUUUUUAGCUGUCCUUAUAACGUAUCAUAGCAUCUCCAUCAAAAUGACAGAUCUUGUGAGAUCCUGUUAGGAAUUGUUCUGGGGAUGGAACAAACCUUUUCUAUUGCCUCUUUCAUAUUCUAGGUAACAGAAGGCAGCUUACAACUAAGCCAUUAUAGCUGCAGAAUGCUGUCAGUUGUAUUUUUUAUUUUGCUUUGAAAGCAGCAAUGCAAGUGCCAAGGACAGAAUCUUGCUGUGAUACAUCGUUUAAAUGAUGGCAUAUCAAAGGGAACAAAAAUAUGAGAAAUAUGUGCCAAGCUACAAGUAUGUGAGUAAGCACCUUGUCCAAUGCAUUGACAACUGUGUAUUACAAUGACAAACCUCUAGUGUUAAUUCAGGUAGGAGAGAUAUCACAUUAUUUUAGUGACUUCACAUAUCUAAACUGUGGAACAUCCUGCCAAAGAGUUUGUAACACCAAAAGUGUACAUGCUUUCAGCUGGACAAAGGUCAUGUUCACUGCACAGAAAUCUUUGGAGGAUUCUUAGAUAUAAAGAAACUGUUCAUUCAGGGACUUCUGAGCAGGAGUCUCUGGAAGACUACUCAGAACAAUUGUAGUUUACAGAACUUUUAUUCUGUGCUUCCCCUAAGCAUCUACUUCUGCUCAUGACUGAAGACGACAGAGCUGGGUGAACCUUGGGUUUGCCCUAGUAUAACAAUACAUUUUGUGUGGCACCUAAUGUGAAAUACUCUUAUAUUACCAUAGCAAUAAUAGAAAAAACUAGCA